rnacentral:lncRNA from 10 species
CUUGGACAUAUUUUUAUUAUUUCUACUCAUUUGCUAAGUACUUUCCAACGCAUAUUUAUGAAGCACAGGCCUUUCCCCAAACAGUUGUGAAAAAAUAAAUCAUAUUAUUUCUUUUAUUAGUAGCAGCACGGCUUGGAAGUCCUAGUGCCCUGAUUUUAGUUAUUUCUGGCAAGAGCUGGAAGAAUUAAUAGUGACCGACCACCUACUAUGUGCCAGACUCUCUGUGAAAGGCACUUUACAUAAAUUAUCUGUUUAAUUCCCCUGAGGCAUAUAUUUUACCAACAAAGAAUGUAAUUCCCCUGCAACAUACACUUUACCAGUAGGACAGAGACAUUACCUUGUCCAAGUAACUCGGCCAGAAAGGGACUAGCAGGGUUUUGAACUUAGAUCUUUUUCCUGAUUCCAAAAUCCCAAAUCACCAUUCCAUUUCACCAGCACCCCUACCAACCUCUCUGGAUCUAAUAGCUUCUGUAAAAUAUAAAGUGUUUUUUGUUUUGUUUUGUUUUUUUAAUGAGAGAGGAUGUGUAGGUUACUGAGAAUGGAACAGUUAGAGAUAAACAUACACAGGGUGCUAACCCUAAUUUUUCUAUGGGAGGUUACUCUUCAAGGGAUUUACUCCCUAAGAAAUCAAUGGAAGGAUGUUUCCCAAAGAGAAGGGCCAGUACUAGUGCUGGAUCCAUUCCUGGAGACAGAACUGGCUACACUGUUUGCAAGAAACAGUGCAAAAUAUGGGAUGCUUGUUUAAAAAUUAAGAACUUCAAGAUGGCAACAGCAGAGCAUUAAACUAAGUGCAGAGCCCUGCUAAGCAUGGGGCUGUGUGACUGCACUGGUCAUACCACCAUGUAGCUGGGCCUGCCUGGACAGAAGAAAGCUGUCAUCAGUAUCCCCCAUGCAUCAUAAGCUUAUUCAUAAUAUGAGAUUGAGUGCCUAUAUCAUGCCUGGAAAACUAUUCAGUGUUUUACAUAAGUUACAUGAUCCUAAAACAACUCUAUGAAACAGAUAUUAUUUUUCCCAUUUCACGGUGGAUGAAACUAAGGCUUAAAGAGACUGUUAUUCAUCCAUUGUUAUAUGGCAAGUAAAUGUCAAAGCUAGGACCAAGUUAGUUGAGAUAUAAAAAAUCCUGUUCCUUGACUUUGUAUCUUUGUCAGCACAGGCCCAUUGUUUUCCUACAAAACUCAAACUUAAGCUGAGGCUAUUAUACCAAAAACUAUAGAGAGGCCAAGGAAGAGCAGAGAUUCAAGGGCUACUCAAAAAGUCAAAUGUGCAGCAGCUGAAGUGCAGCCGUACAGCUCCAGGGCAUGAGGACCUGGCAGAGAGAACUCCAUCAUUCAUGGCAAAUGUCAUGGCCAAUACCCAGACUCCUCCAAGACUGAAGGGUAACCCAGUGAGGUCUUUCAUAAAGAGCAGCUACGUGGAACCUAAGGCAUCUAACUCAGUAAAAUAUUGUAAAUAGUCCACUAAAGUUAGGAACAAGACAAGGAUGAUUGUUAUUGUUGCUUCUAUUCUGUGUAGUACUAAAAGUCAGUUUAGCCAGUGCAAUAGGACAAGAAAAAAAUGAUAGAAAGCAUUCAGGAUCACUUUGGAUUAAUAAUAUACCUAACUCUAAUUUAAGGUCUAUGCAUCACAGAGCCUUCUCCAAUGCCAAACCCCAGCACACAGAACUAGACAGUUUAAACCUUACCCAGUGCUUGCUUCAGCAGCACAUACACUAAAAUUGGAACAAUACAAAGAUGAUUAGCAUGGCCCCUGAAAUAAAUUAAAAUAUAAAUAAAUCCUGCCCAGACAACUGCAUGGCAGAACACAGCAAAAACCUAGUAGGAUAUACAUCUAAAUCCCUUAUCUCCCCCUGCUUCACAUCUCAGGGAUGCAUAGGCAGCCAACUAUUCAAACCAUUUUCAAAUAAGGCAAAGGCAGAGCUGUAACCAAUUAGUUGUCUUUGUAUCUCAUUUCUGUUUUCUGACCAUAAAUGCUUUCAGACUAUGUUGCAGCUCUGGAAUUCUCUGAACCUGUCCUGGUUCUGAGGGCAGCCCAAUUCUAGAAUUGCAAAUAAAAGUCAAUUACAAUCUGCAAAACUAUAUUUGCUUUAAUUUUGUCUUUUAACACCUUGUUUUCUUAAUUUUUAUUAUUUUAUUUUAUAGAGAUAGGGUCUUGCUAUGUUGCCCAGGCUGGUCUGGAACUCCUGGCCUCAGGCGAUCCUCCUACUUUGGCUUCCCAAAUUACUGGGAUUACAGUCAGGAGCCACAGUUCCUGGCAUGUUAACACCUUGUUCUUUAAAGGACACACAGGAGGCGAUCCUUCUCCUGCCUGUAGAUAUUGUCACGUCUGGAUUGAUGCUCAAAAUGGCUGCAGCCAGGCUUUCAUAAGGGGAACAAGCUUGAAGACAAAACCAACAUAAAAGAACAGAGCAGAAGGAUGCAAAGGCUCUACGCCAUUUGACAAUGAGCCACUAAAUUAACAAACCUCAGACUUCCUGUUAUCAGAGAUAAUAAGUGUCCCUGCCAGGCAUGGUGGCUCAUGACUGUAAUCCCUAGCACUUUGGGAGGUCAAGGCGGGUAGAUCACCUGAGCCCAGGAGUUCAAGACCAGCCUGGGCAACGUACAGAGACCCCGUCUCUACAAAAAAUACAAAACUUAGAUGGGUGUGGUGGCACACACCUGUAGUCCCAGCUACUUGGGAGACUGAAGUGGGAGGAUCACUUGAGCUUGGGAGGUAGAGGGUACAGUGAGCCGUGAUUGUGCCACUGCACUCCAGAGCAAGACUCUGUCUUGAAACAUAAAAGAAAUAAAUAUAAAUAAGUGUCCCUAGUAUUUACACUUCUUUAAGCCUAGGUUUUGUUACUUGCAGCCUUAAUGAUACAUGGACCUUUGCCUGAGUCCUUGGGAAUUCAAAUGCCUGAUUUUUAAUUAAGGCCAUCAAGUGCUAGCACAUAGUAGGAUCUCAACAUUAAUUUCAUCUGAUGUCAGACGAAGGGCAUACAAUAGUCCCCUGUAAAAAGAUAUGUAAGAAGACACUCUGGGGACUCAAUGAUGUGGGUGUGAACAUAUAUAUAUAUUUUUUAGAUGGAGUCUCACUCUGUUGCCCAGGCUAGAGUACAGUGGCACAAUCUCGGCUCACUGCAACCUCCAUCUCCCAGGUUCAAGCGAUUCUCAUGCCUCAGCCUCCCAAGUAGCUGGGAUUACAGAUGCGAGCCAUCACACCCAGCUAAUUUUUGUAUUUUUAGUAGAGACAGGGUUUCACUAUAUAGGCCAGGCUGGUCUUGAACUCCUGACCUUGUGAUCCGCCCACUUUGGCCUCCCAAAGUGCUGGGAUUACAGGCGUGAGCCACUGCGCCUGGCUCAUAUGUGUAUAUAUAUGUGUGUAUAUAUAUGUGUGUAUAUAUAUAUAUGUGUGUAUAUAUAUGUAUAUAUAUGUGUGUAUAUGUGUGUGUGUGUGUGUGUAUAUAUAUAUAUAUAUGUAUAUGUAUAUGUAUAUUUUUUUCCUAAGAACUAGAGAGUGCCCUCAGGUCUCAAACCACCCCCGCAGGGGAAAUUGAAAGUUGACGCUUUAUGGAAGGAACCCCUGAGAUAGAGCCAGUCCUUUGCUUUUUUAAAAUAUAUUUUUAAAACAUCAUUCAUCUAUUUAAUCAUUACUGAGCUUCCAUAAUGUAUAAAGAGAAAAAGUGACAAAAAGUGGGAGCCUGUAGGCAGACACGUGAACAGAAAGUACAAGUGAAUAACUAAUACAGGGAAGUUACUGUAAGCAUCUAUCUAGAUCACAGCUGAGGCAUAAAAAAGGAUGUCAGGGUGGGUGUGCACCAGACACAGUGGGAGCUGGGCAGAGACAGACACAUAAGCAAAGGGAGCAAAAGGCACUUGGACAGGAGAGCCAGCCUAGCCCAAGUCCUACCAGGGGACUGCACAGUGUGGUGUGGCCGGAACAGAGUGCAGUGGCAGCAGGCAGGCAAGACAAAGUCCUGGUCUAGGAGGAGCCAAAGGAUGAAGCUGGCUGUGAGGGGCACAGCCUGCAGGAAUGUCACGUGGUGGUCUCAAGUAGCAGUGAAUGCAACACCUUCCCAUGGCCACAGAAACUCCUUGGGUGACAGCUGUGGUGCCUUCAGCUGGAGUUACAGCCCUAGCAGGAAUAGAACUGUAUGGACUGAAAAUUAAAUAAAAUGUGGGGAUUUUUUUUUUCUUUUUGAAACAGAGUCUCUGUUGCCCAGGCUGGAGUGCAGUGGCAUGAUCGCAGGUCAUUGCAACCUCUGCCUCCUGGGCUCAAGUGAUCCUCCCCACUCAGCCUCUCGAGGAGCUGGGAUUACAGACAUGCGCCACGACGCCUGGCUAAUUUUUGCAUUUUUUUUUUUUUUUUGAGACGGAGUCUCACUCUGUCGCUCAGGCUGGAGUGCAGUGGCGCCAUCUCAGCUCCCUGCAACCUCCGCCUCCCAGGUUCAAGCGAUUCUGCCUCAGCCUCCUGAGUAGCUGGGAUUACAGGAAAUGGGCCACCAUGCCUGGCUAAUUUUUGUAUUUUUAGUACAGACGGGGUUUCACCAUGUUGGUCAGGCUGGUCUGGAACUCCUGACCUUAGGUGAUCCACCCACCUCAGCCUCCCAAAGUGCUGGGAUUACAGGCGUGAGCCACCACACCCAGCCAAUGUGGGAAUUAAAAAAAAAAGAGUCCUAGGAAUCAAGUUGUGGGUUCCAGAUCCCACCUCCAUUCUGCCACUAGGACUGUCAGUCAUCCUUUUUGAGCCUCAGGUACCUUCUCUGUUAAGUAACAGGAUGGGCCAGAUGAUUUUUUUUUUCCUUGAGACAGGGUCUUGCUCUGUUACCCAGGCUGGGGUGUAGUGGUGCGAUCAGGGCUCACUGCAGCCACAACCUCCAAGGUUCAAGCGAUUCUCCUGCCUCAGUUAGGUAUUAAGUACCUGAACUCACUACAUAAUGGGAACAGGGCAGAGACGGCAACCAGACUCCACCUUGAAUACCAACUCCAACUGACUGGUAGUGGCCCCCUGGAGUGCUAUAUUGAGAAAAACUUCUAAAAACACUUUGACUUCCACAAAAAAGAGUGCUUGUGCCCGAUUGGUCAUGUCUGCUGUGGGCUGAAGAUGCCCAAAUAGUACCUUGAGUGGCAAGAAUUUGCAAUUUCCAGCUUCAUGUAUUGCAUCUUACUGUGGUUGCAGGAAUGUGCCAAUCACCCAUGGUAUAAAGAUACUGAAGAUUAAUUUCUCCUGAGGUCUUCUGUGAAAGCAAGCGCUAGGAUUCCCCCAGGCUUAGGCUUACCAACCCUGUCCUGAAUCCAACACCCUGGUGCCAGUUUGCCACUCCUUCCCAAUCCUCCAUGAUUCUAUCCCUGUUGCAUUCAUCACCUCUAAAUGUCAUUACUUUCUGAGUGUAACUCGGACCCUCCUUUCCUGCAGCCAAGACAUAACUGAUUAAUUACACAACAGGCUCUCUAACCAAGAAAGAUGACCUUCCUUUAAAAGAUGUGGCCAGUAACCAAUCCUGAUCAUUUCUGUACUUUUCCUUUUAUUUUCCAUUCCCUGGUGUCUUCGUCCCCUCCCAGCCAGGGUCAUGGCUCUCAG